GUAACAAGGUUUCCGUAGGUGAACCUGCGGAAGGAUCAUUAUAGAAUUCGGGCUUCGCGGCCCUUGUUCUCACCCUUUGUCUACCAAACUUUGUUGCUUUGGCAAGCCACUGGGCUUGCCAGAGGCUUGAAACCCUAGAAUCUCUGCUGUCUGAGUACUAUACAAUAGUUAAAACUUUCAACAACGGAUCUCUUGGUUCUGGCAUCGAUGAAGAACGCAGCGAAAUGCGAUAAGUAAUGUGAAUUGCAGAAUUCAGUGAAUCAUCGAAUCUUUGAACGCACAUUGCGCCCUCUGGUAUUCCGGGGGGCAUGCCUGUUCGAGCGUCAUUACAACCCUCACGCCUAGCGUGGUAUUGGGCGGGCCCUACAGGGCGCGUCUCAAAGUCAGUGGCGGCACCGUGUGACCCCUAAGCGUAGUAAAAUGCAUCGCUUCCGGGCGUCAGGCGGAGGCCUGCCAGCAACCCCCAACUUACAAGGUUGACCUCGAAUCAGGUAGGGAUACCCGCUGAACUUAAGCAUAUCAAU
rnacentral:rRNA from 1 species